GGAGGGGAAGGAAGGGACGGGGAAGCAGUCCCACAGCAGAGACUGUAAGACCCCCUGCCCAGACCUGAAUCAAGAGGGAACGCCCACCCUGGCUCAGAGCAGGGGAGGAAAAGGCACUGUGCUGACCGGGUGGGUCUCUCCCUAAACCCCAGGGAGGGUGGAGAACCUGCUGAUUCUUCCCCCUGGGCUUCCCAAGGUGAGCUGGAUUUCUAGGGAAAGGAAUUUAAGUGCUAGGAAAGGGAAAAUACUGCUGCUGUUUUCUGAAGUUCAACUGAGUUCUAGAAGCCAUGGCCAGGCCAUCCCAGGAGAGGGUAGAGGCAGGAUAAGAAGGAAGAGAAAUUCCUUAAAACAGAAGCUUCUCCAAAAAUAAAAGAAGUCAAAUCACAAUUCUAAAACUGGAUUAAACAGUUCCCAGGCACAGAAAGGGGGAGGUAAACUGAACUCAAACUUCACCCCAUCUCUUCAAAGCCCAAGUGACCUCUAAUGUGAUCCCCCAUUUCAGGCCAGUAUCUCUUAGGCCAACAGUGGAAACAAGAACAUAAGAUCACACUCUCGCACCAACAAGUGGCCUGCAGGCCCUGUGCUUUUCCUGCGAGUUGACCACUGAUGCUUGAAGAGAACCAUCUUCCAAGUCACCAGAACUCUAGGUUAACACUGAGCAGCUUCUCCUCAAUAGUGGAGAUUUUUUUCAGGAAAAUGUAUCUGGUUUGGGGGACAUGGGUCCCACAGGUUGUUUCCUGGCAUGUUUCCAUCUUCUGGAAUGGAGCCCCCCACCCCCUCAAAGUCUGACCCAAAUCAGGGCUACACUGCAGAAUCUCAGCCCAUCUCCAGAAGACAUCUUUCCCUGGUCCUCCUGGAAACUGAACCCAAGCCACACUUCUGGCAAAAAGAGUUUCAGCCUUGGCCGUUUGCUCUUGGUUUUGGCCAGAGGGGCUCCAGAGGAUCUGAACACCCAGGACAGAGUGUGGAUCCAGAAGAGCCCAGGCAAAAUGGAGGCGGCAAGUCCUCCUUCUGCAUCCUGUCUAAUCCACUGGCAGUGGCCUGCGACUCCAGGGAACUGGGAUGGAAUAGGAAGUGGGAACCCCUGUCAGAAGCCCACUCACUAGUCAAGAUGCCCACUGCACCAGGCAGGCGGUCCCCAGGACCAGACAUCCACCUCCAUCAUCCUUUAAUGCCAGGAGCUUUGGCUGAUCACAGCCUCAGGCCACAGCCGUUCAGCUGCCUCCAUGCCCAAAGCCUAAGUCACAGCGAAAACGAAGGGCUACGACUCUCAAAGUACUGA
rnacentral:lncRNA from 1 species